ACAGAAGCGUAAAUAAUCGUGUUAAUUUCAUAUAUAUUUGUCUCCCUAGUUUUAGAAAGGGCCCACUGAACGCGGGGCGCGCUGUUUGUCUCCCAGAUAAACUUUCAAUCCGACUGUUGGUACGCUGAUACCCGCAGCUCACCCCGCGGUAGCCCCGGGUUAUAAACAUUCUACUCCAAAUUUCAUCGGCCCAGCAAUAGUGGCUUAAUAAACACUGACUUUCGCAAUUCGUUUAUUAGUAUAGAAAUUGUGAUAUCUAUGGUAUAGAAGUAGAAAUUAAUAAUUGUAUGAUGCCUGUUUAACCCUUUUGCCUAUAAUUCAAUUCCAUUGCCUUUUUAUGUUAUUCAAAGUAAAUCGUCAAAUUAACUGUCACUGUCAUUGAUAUGAUAAUUUAACUUUGACAAUUUUUUAUGAUGGCGGGAAUCUGGAAUUAUCAAUUUAACUCUCUACUUAGACUCUUAUCUUUGUUUAUUCGCUUCGUUUGUACUUUUGUUUUGUGUAACGUAGAUUAAACUUAAACAAAAUAUGUUUUAUUGUUUUGUUUUGUGAAUUCUUCAUAAGUUAAAUCAUUCCUUCUUUUUGAAAAUUGGUUUAGGUAACAACUUACAGAAAAACAAAUGGAUCCAAUAUUUUCAUUUCCAUUUCCACCUUAUCCUAUCCAAGAAAAGUUUAUGAAAGAGUUAUAUUCAACGAUUGAGGAAUCUAAGCUGGGUAUCUUCGAAAGUCCCACCGGUACUGGUAAAUCUUUGAGUAUUUGCUGUGGAGCGUUGCAGUGGUUGAAGGACAAUAAUCAAAGAAUAAUCAGUAAUUUAGAGCAGGAUAUUUCAAAGCUGAAAUUAGAGAUUUCUAGUAACUCAAGCUCAGAUGACUGGCUUCAAGAAGAAUAUGAAAAAAUAAAAAAGAAUCAGGUGCUAGUGGAGCUACAAAAUAAAUUGGAUAAAAUCAAGAAGAGGAAUGAAAAGCUGAAUGAAAUGAAAAUAAGAGUUAAUAAAUUAAAGUUGAAUGUUAAUAACAAGACUGUUGAACACUACUUCCAUAAGACUGAUAAAAAUAAGAAAGAUGGUGAUAAGAAUAACAAACAGGAGAAUGCUUAUGAUGCAGAUGAUGAUCUUCUAUUAGAAGAGUUUUUGGAGAAAGAGGAAACAGAAAAUGAAUCUGAUUAUGAGGAUAUUAUAGAAAAAGAAGAUGAUUGUCAGAAUUGUAAGAUAUUCAUAGGCAGCAGAACACACAGUCAGCUGUCACAGUUUGUGGGUGAAGUCAAGAGGACCAUAUUCAAAGACACAAGAGUGGUUACUCUGGCUUCCCGCCAGCAUUACUGCAUUAACUCCAAUGUGUCAAAACUUAAGAAUGUUCAUCUUAUUAAUGAAAGAUGCUUAGAUCUACAAAAAUCAAAAACAAAAUCAACAGCAGUUGAUGAAGAUGGAAAGGUUUUGAAGAAAACCAAGGUCAAAUCUUGUUCAGGUUGCCCUUAUUACAACCAGGGCAACAUAGCUAGGCUGAAGGAGAGGAUGUUAGUGGAUAUUAUGGAUAUGGAGGAUAUUGUCAAGUGCGGGAAAGAAUUGAAGGCUUGUCCAUAUUAUGCUUCAAGAGCAGCAAUGGAUGAGGCAGAAGUAGUGCUAAUGAGUCACGCUGGGGUGGCCAGCUCCGGUGCCAGAACAGGAAUAUCCCUAAAUUUAAAAAACAAUAUUCUGGUUUUAGACGAAGCGCAUGGUCUCCCUGCAGCAUUAGAGAAUGCGAACUCUGCGCCACUUUCUGAAAAACAUCUAUCAUGCUUAAAAACUUGUUUGAAGUUCUAUGUGAAUAAAUAUAGUUCCAGGCUGAGCAGCAAGAAUUUGUUGACGCUCAAUCAGAUGGGAUUUGUUAUUGGGAAAUUAUUGGGGUUUAUAAAAUCAAGUAACAGCAGCAAUAAGGUUCAAGAAGAUAAAACAAUUUAUAUGUUAGAAGAUUUUGUAGUCAAAGCAGAUAUAGACCACAUGAAUUUCAGGCCUCUCAUAGAUUUCUGUAGAAAAACUAGAUUGGCUCCUAAACUACAUUCAUUUUCUAUGAGAUAUAACCAGGAAGUGCUUGAGAGCGAAAUACAGAAGGAAGAAAAUAAGAAAAACUCUUUUCAAAUGUUCAUGGAAAAUAUUAAAAAGAAAAAAAUAGGUGAUAACCAGCCAGUUGUAAAAGAAGAAACAAAAGAAAGCAAAGAGAAACCAGCGUUUUUGAAAGGCAAGCAAGAAAAUCAGACGCCUGAUGAGGUACAUUCAGAAGUAUCAGUGGGCACGGGACUGUACCAAGUAAUGGAGUUCCUAGAACUCUUAUGUGACCGCAGUGAAAACGGCAGAGUUUUGGUACAGACGGCGGAACAGAAUUCGGGUAGUUUGAAAUAUUUACUUCUAAACCCGACUGAACACUUCUCGGAUGUCAUCAAGCAAUGUCGCUCCGUGAUCCUAGCAGGCGGGACGAUGGAGCCAGUAUCGGAAUUCCUCCAACUCCUCACGGGCUCGGCGGCCGCCCGCGACGUCGUCAACGUCGUCAAGUGCGAACACGUUGUGCCCAGAGAUAAUGUACUUGCAUUGUGUGUGUCUAAAGGCCCUUCGCAGUUGGCGCUCAACUUCUCGUAUGAGAAUCGGAUGGCGAAGAAUAUGCUAGAAGAAGUGGGAAGAAUACUUCGAAACAUAUGUUCAGUAGUCCCCGGGGGGGUGGUGUGUUUCCUGCCCUCGUACACUUACGAAGAAGCGGUGUACCAAGCUAUGAAGAGCAGUGGGGUCUUGGAUACGAUUGGCAAGAAAAAGAGGAUAUUUAGGGAGCCCAAAUCUGCUACUGAUGUUGAUCAGCCACGAUUUGCAGGUGCUAAGCAAAUACGCGUCCGCCGUGAACAGUGCGGGCGCGCUGCUGCUCAGCGUCGUGGGCGGGAAACUCAGCGAGGGGCUCAACUUCUGCGACGACCUAGGCCGCUGUGUGAUGGUAGUAGGCAUGCCGUAUCCCAACAUCAGGUCCCCGGAACUGAAGGAGAAGAUGAGGUAUUUGGAACGCAGUGUGGGCCCCGGCGCUGGACACGUUUACUAUGAGAACCUCUGUAUGAAGGGUGUUAACCAAUGCAUUGGUCGAGCUGUGAGACAUAUUAACGACUAUGCUUGUGUACUAUUGGUUGAUGAAAGAUAUUCGAGGCCUCAAACUAUAAAUGCAUUGCCAUCUUUUGUACAAAGGUCCUUGCUCUCCAAUUGCAACUUUGGUAAUACCAUGGGGAAUAUAGUGAAGUUCUUCGCGAGACAUAAACAGAACGCGAAAUGAAAUGUAGAUUUAAAUAUUAUUUAUUUUAAAAUAAGUUCUCUAAUAAAUAUGCUUUACAAAA